rnacentral:rRNA from 1 species
AGUCGACGGGAAGACAUGAAGAGCUUGCUCUUUAUGAAAUCCAGUGGCAAACGGGUGAGUAACACGUAAACAACCUGCCUUCAGGAUGGGGACAACAGACGGAAACGACUGCUAAUACCGAAUACGAUUCUUGAGUCGCAUGACACAAGAAAGAAAGGGUGGCCUCUACUUGUAAGCUAUCGCCUGGAGAGGGGUUUGCGUCCGAUUAGGUAGUUGGUGAGGUAACGGCCCACCAAGCCGACGAUCGGUAGCCGGUCUGAGAGGAUGAACGGCCACAUUGGAACUGAGACACGGUCCAGACUCCUACGGGAGGCAGCAGUGGGGAAUCUUCCGCAAUGGGCGAAAGCCUGACGGAGCAACGCCGCGUGAGUGAAGACGGCCUUUGGGUUGUAAAACCCUGUGAUUCGGGACGAAAGAUAAGUAGACGAAUAAUCUGCAUAAGUGACGGUACCGAAAAAGCAAGCCACGGCUAACUACGUGCCAGCAGCCGCGGUGAUACGUAGGUGGCAAGCGUUGUCCGGAAUUAUUGGGCGUAAAGCGCGCGCAGGCGGCUACUUAAGUCCAUCUUAAAAGUGCGGGGCUUAACCCCGUGAUGGGAUGGGAACUGAGAAGCUGGAGUGUCGGAGAGGAAAGUGGAAUUCCUAGUGUAGCGGUGAAAUGCGUAGAGAUUAGGAAGAACACCGGUGGCGAAGGCGACCUUCUGGACGACAACUGACGCUUAGGCGCGAAAGCGUGGGGAGCAAACAGGAUUAGAUACCCUGGUAGUCCACGCCGUANACGAUGGAUACUAGGUGUAGGAGGUAUCGACCCCUUCUGUGCCGGAGUUAACGCAAUAAGUAUCCCGCCUGGGAAGUACGAU